rnacentral:rRNA from 1 species
UACGUAGGAGACGAGCGUUGUCCGGAAUUACUGGGCGUAAAGCGCGUGUAGGCGGAUGGGCAAGUCUGCUGUGAAAGCUCCUGGCUUAACCGGGAGUGGUCGGUGGAAACUGCCAAUCUGGAGGACGGUAGAGGCUGGUGGAAUUCCCGGUGUAGUGGUGAAAUGCGUAGAGAUCGGGAGGAACACCUGUGGCGAAGGCGGCCAGCUGGGCCGGACCUGACGCUGAGACGCGAAGGCGUGGGGAGCGAACGGGG